rnacentral:tRNA from 1 species
AUUGUGUGGCCGAGUGGACUAAGGCGGUAGACUCAAGAUUUACUGGAAUUAUCCUCGUGGGUUCGAAUUAGUAGUUUCCCAUCGCAAU